UACAGAGGCCACGAGCGUUAGGCGGAAUCACUGGGCUUAAAGCGUGUGUAGGUGGAUGGGUAAGUACCUUGUGAAAUCCCACAGCUCAACUGUGGAACUGCUUGGUAUACUGCCCGUCUUGAGGCACUCAGGGGCGAGCGGAACAGAUGGUGGAGCGGUGAAAUGCGUAGAUAUCAUCUGGAACGCCAAUGGUGAAGACAGCUCGCUGGGGGUGUACUGACACUGAGACACGAAAGCCAGGGGAGCAAACGGG
rnacentral:rRNA from 1 species